rnacentral:rRNA from 1 species
GGGUUGUGAGGUUAAGCGACUAAGCGUACACGGUGGAUGCCCUGGCAGUCAGAGGCGAUGAAGGACGUGCUAAUCUGCGAUAAGCGCCGGUAAGGUGAUAUGAACCGUUAUAACCGGCGAUUUCCGAAUGGGGAAACCCAGUGUGACUCGUCACACUAUCAUUAACUGAAUCCAUAGGUUAAUGAGGCGAACCGGGGGAACUGAAACAUCUAAGUACCCCGAGGAAAAGAAAUCAACCGAGAUUCCCCCAGUAGCGGCGAGCGAACGGGGAGGAGCCCAGAGCCUGAAUCAGCAUGUGUGUUAGUGGAAGCGUCUGGAAAGGCGCGCGAUACAGGGUGACAGCCCCGUACACAAAAGCGCAUGUGCUGUGAGCUCGAUGAGUAGGGCGGGACACGUGGUAUCCUGUCUGAAUAUGGGGGGACCAUCCUCCAAGGCUAAAUACUCCUGACUGACCGAUAGUGAACCAGUACCGUGAGGGAAAGGCGAAAAGAACCCCGGCGAGGGGAGUGAAAAAGAACCUGAAACCGUGUACGUACAAGCAGUGGGAGCCUCUUUUAUGGGGUGACUGCGUACCUUUUGUAUAAUGGGUCAGCGACUUAUAUUCUGUAGCAAGGUUAACCGUAUAGGGGAGCCGGAGGGAAACCGAGUCUUAACCGGGCGUUAAGUUGCAGGGUAUAGACCCGAAACCCGGUGAUCUAGCCAUGGGCAGGUUGAAGGUUGGGUAACACUAACUGGAGGACCGAACCGACUAAUGUUGAAAAAUUAGCGGAUGACCUGUGGCUGGGGGUGAAAGGCCAAUCAAACCGGGAGAUAGCUGGUUCUCCCCGAAAGCUAUUUAGGUAGCGCCUCGUGAAUUCAUCUCCGGGGGUAGAGCACUGUUUCGGCUAGGGGGCCAUCCCGGCUUACCAACCCGAUGCAAACUGCGAAUACCGGAGAAUGUUAUCACGGGAGACACACGGCGGGUGCUAACGUCCGUCGUGAAGAGGGAAACAACCCAGACCGCCAGCUAAGGUCCCAAAGUCAUGGUUAAGUGGGAAACGAUGUGGGAAGGCCCAGACAGCCAGGAUGUUGGCUUAGAAGCAGCCAUCAUUUAAAGAAAGCGUAAUAGCUCACUGGUCGAGUCGGCCUGCGCGGAAGAUGUAACGGGGCUAAACCAUGCACCGAAGCUGCGGCAGCGACGCUGAUGCGUUGUUGGGUAGGGGAGCGUUCUGUAAGCCUGCGAAGGUGGCCUGUGAGGGUUGCUGGAGGUAUCAGAAGUGCGAAUGCUGACAUAAGUAACGAUAAAGCGGGUGAAAAGCCCGCUCGCCGGAAGACCAAGGGUUCCUGUCCAACGUUAAUCGGGGCAGGGUGAGUCGACCCCUAAGGCGAGGCCGAAAGGCGUAGUCGAUGGGAAACGGGUUAAUAUUCCCGUACUUGGUGUUACUGCGAAGGGGGGACGGAGAAGGCUAUGUUGGCCGGGCGACGGUUGUCCCGGUUUAAGCGUGUAGGUGUGUGUUCCAGGUAAAUCCGGUUCACUUUAACACUGAGGCGUGACGACGAGGCACUACGGUGCUGAAGCAACAAAUGCCCUGCUUCCAGGAAAAGCCUCUAAGCAUCAGGUAACAUCAAAUCGUACCCCAAACCGACACAGGUGGUCAGGUAGAGAAUACCAAGGCGCUUGAGAGAACUCGGGUGAAGGAACUAGGCAAAAUGGUGCCGUAACUUCGGGAGAAGGCACGCUGAUAUGUAGGUGAAGUGAUUUACUCAUGGAGCUGAAAUCAGUCGAAGAUACCAGCUGGCUGCAACUGUUUAUUAAAAACACAGCACUGUGCAAACACGAAAGUGGACGUAUACGGUGUGACGCCUGCCCGGUGCCGGAAGGUUAAUUGAUGGGGUCAGCGCAAGCGAAGCUCCUGAUCGAAGCCCCGGUAAACGGCGGCCGUAACUAUAACGGUCCUAAGGUAGCGAAAUUCCUUGUCGGGUAAGUUCCGACCUGCACGAAUGGCGUAAUGAUGGCCAGGCUGUCUCCACCCGAGACUCAGUGAAAUUGAACUCGCUGUGAAGAUGCAGUGUACCCGCGGCAAGACGGAAAGACCCCGUGAACCUUUACUAUAGCUUGACACUGAACAUUGAGCCUUGAUGUGUAGGAUAGGUGGGAGGCUUUGAAGCGUGGACGCCAGUCUGCGUGGAGCCGACCUUGAAAUACCACCCUUUAAUGUUUGAUGUUCUAACGUGGACCCGUAAUCCGGGUUGCGGACAGUGUCUGGUGGGUAGUUUGACUGGGGCGGUCUCCUCCUAAAGAGUAACGGAGGAGCACGAAGGUUGGCUAAUCCUGGUCGGACAUCAGGAGGUUAGUGCAAUGGCAUAAGCCAGCUUGACUGCGAGCGUGACGGCGCGAGCAGGUGCGAAAGCAGGUCAUAGUGAUCCGGUGGUUCUGAAUGGAAGGGCCAUCGCUCAACGGAUAAAAGGUACUCCGGGGAUAACAGGCUGAUACCGCCCAAGAGUUCAUAUCGACGGCGGUGUUUGGCACCUCGAUGUCGGCUCAUCACAUCCUGGGGCUGAAGUAGGUCCCAAGGGUAUGGCUGUUCGCCAUUUAAAGUGGUACGCGAGCUGGGUUUAGAACGUCGUGAGACAGUUCGGUCCCUAUCUGCCGUGGGCGCUGGAGAACUGAGGGGGGCUGCUCCUAGUACGAGAGGACCGGAGUGGACGCAUCACUGGUGUUCGGGUUGUCAUGCCAAUGGCACUGCCCGGUAGCUAAAUGCGGAAGAGAUAAGUGCUGAAAGCAUCUAAGCACGAAACUUGCCCCGAGAUGAGUUCUCCCUGAGACUUAGAGUCUCCUGAAGGAACGUUGAAGACGACGACGUUGAUAGGCCGGGUGUGUAAGCGCAGCGAUGCGUUGAGCUAACCGGUACUAAUGAACCGUGAGGCUUAACCUUACAACGCCGAAG